rnacentral:rRNA from 1 species
UACGGAGGGUGCGAGCGUUGUCCGGAAUCACUGGGCGUAAAGGGCGCGUAGGUGGCGCGGGAAGUCGUCGGUGAAAGCUCAGGGCUCAACCCUGAGUCGGCCGGUGAUACUCCCGUGCUUGAGUGUGGUAGAGGCCAAUGGAAUUCCGGGUGUAGCGGUGGAAUGCGUAGAGAUCCGGAAGAACACCGGUGGCGAAGGCGGUUGGCUGGGCCACAACUGACACUGAUGCGCGACAGCGUGGGGAGCAAACAGG